rnacentral:rRNA from 1 species
GACCAGACUCCUACGGGAGGCAGCAGUGGGGAAUAUUGCACAAUGGGGGAAACCCUGAUGCAGCGACGCCGCGUGAGUGAAGAAGUAUUUCGGUAUGUAAAGCUCUAUCAGCAGGGAAGAAAAUGACGGUACCUGACUAAGAAGCCCCGGCUAACUACGUGCCAGCAGCCGCGGUAAUACGUAGGGGGCAAGCGUUAUCCGGAUUUACUGGGUGUAAAGGGAGCGUAGACGGCAUGGCAAGUCAGAUGUGAAAGCCCGGGGCUCAACCCCGGGACUGCAUUUGAAACUGUCAGGCUGGAGUGCAGGAGAGGUAAGUGGAAUUCCUAGUGUAGCGGUGAAAUGCGUAGAUAUUAGGAGGAACACCAGUGGCGAAGGCGGCUUACUGGACUGUAACUGACGUUGAGGCUCGAAAGCGUGGGGAGCAAACAGGAUUAGAUACCCUAGUA